CCUAAAGAAGACCAAUAUCAAAAAGCAUGGUCAGAUGCUGUUUGGGGCGAGAAUGCGUCAAAACGUUCCCUGGAAAAUCUUAGAUUGUGUGUAGUACACUUUGAGCCAUCCGAUUUUUUGGUAGUGGGUCGCCG